UACGUAGGGGGCAAGCGUUGUCCGGAUUUAUUGGGCGUAAAGAGCGUGUAGGCGGCCAAGCAGGUCCGCUGUGAAAACUCGAGGCUCAACCCUCGAGAGGUCGGUGGAAACCGUUUGGCUAGAGUCCGGAAGAGGAGAGUGGAAUUCCCGGUGUAGCGGUGAAAUGCGCAGAUAUCGGGAAGAACACCCGUGGCGAAGGCGGCUCUCGUGGGACGGUACUGACGCUGAGACGCGAAAGCGUGGGGAGCGAACAGG
rnacentral:rRNA from 1 species